UGUCUACCCAUGGGACCCAAGGUGUUGGGGACCCCAGGGAUGCUAGCUCUGGUGCUUUGGAAUUGCUCAGGUAAAAGGUCAGUGUGAAGGUGGAUAUAAUCUACUCUGACUCCUUGGAAGACUGACUGGAGCCAUGGAGAGGAACUAGAGUGAGGGAGAGCAGCCUGGACUCACUGCCAAAAUCCUGUUGGGCUGGAGGUGGCUGCCUGGAUCCCAGGCAGAGGGAUCCUGGCUCCUCUCAGCUGUGAUGGGCUCUGCUCCCAUGAGAAAAGAGAGAGGCAGGAGGGAAAACAGCCCCCAAGGAAGGAGCAGCCACCUCACAAUAGCUGAAAUAUCCAGCAAUGGAGAAGAGGAACACCCUUCCUCUCUAAAUUAUUCGUCCCAAAUAGCUCUGACUACAACCACUUUUU